GCGGCGGUAGCUCAAUGGUAGAGUCCCAGAUUGUGAUUCUGGUUGUUGUGGGUUCGAGUCCCAUCCGUCGCCCCA
rnacentral:tRNA from 2 species